rnacentral:rRNA from 1 species
UACGGAGGGUGCAAGCGUUAUCCGGAUUUACUGGGCUUAAAGGGUGCGCAGGCGGCUUUGUAAGUCAGAGGUGAAAUCUUUGGGCUUAACCCGAAAAUUGCCAUUGAUACUAUAUAUCUUGAAUGCUGUGGAGGUAAGCGGAAUAUGUGAUGUAGCGGUGAAAUGCGUAGAUAUGACAUAGAACACCUAUUGCGAAGGCAGCUGGCUGGACGAAUAUUGACACUGAUGCACGAAAGCGUGGGGAUCAAACAGG